rnacentral:rRNA from 1 species
UGGGGAAUCUUCCGCAAUGGGCGAAAGCCUGACGGAGCAACGCCGCGUGAGUGAAGAAGGUUUUCGGAUCGUAAAGCUCUGUUAUCGGGGGCGAAAGGUGAGACUGUGAAUAAUGGUUUCAUAAGACGGUACCUGAUGAGAAAGCCACGGCUAACUACGUGCCAGCAGCCGCGGUAAUACGGAGGAUGCGAGCGUUAUCCGGAUUUAUUGGGUUUAAAGGGUGCGUAGGUGGUUUAUUAAGUCAGCGGUGAAAGUUUGCAGCUCAACUGUAAAAUUGCCGUUGAAACUGGUAGACUUGAGUGUAAAUGAGGUAGGCGGAAUUCCUAGUGUAGCGGUGAAAUGCGUAGAUAUUAGGAGGAACACCAGUGGCGAAGGCGGCCUGCUGGGCCUUAACUGACGCUGAGGCUCGAAAGCGUGGGGAGCAAACA